UCCGGGUGCGUGACACGUCGGUGACCUACCCCGCUGUGGGGAAUACCCUGCCGAAAGGUGGGCUAAUACCGCAUGCGAUCCCCAGUCGAACGGGGAUGAAAGCCCGCAAGGGCGCUGUGGGAGGGGCCGGCGGCCUAUCAGCUUGUUGGUGGGGUAAUGGCCUACCAAGGCGACGACGGGGAGCCGAUCUGAGAGGAUGACCGGCCACAGUGGGACUGAGAUAUGGUCCACAGCCCUACGGGGUUUAGCAUGGAGGAAUCUUGCGCAACAUCCGAAAGGAUGGCGCAGCAACGCCGCGUGAGGGACGAAGCCGUUUGCGGUGUAAACCUCUGUUGCUCGGGAAGAAGUACCGCGGGGUGAGAGCCUCACGGGAAGACGUGUACCGGGCGAGGAAGCCCCGGCUAACUACGUGCCAGCAGCCGCGGUAAUACGUAGGGGGGCGAGCGUUAUCCGGAUUUAUUGGGCGUAAAGCGCACGCAGGCGGGAUGCAACCGUGGUGUGUGGAAUCUCCCGGCUCACCCGGGAGGGGUCAUGCCAUACGGGCAUUCUUGAGGCAAACAGUGGGUCGCGGAACGGGCAGAGUAGGGGUGAAAUCCGCAGAUACUGUCCGGAACACCAGAGGCGAAGGCGGCGACCUAGGUUUGAGAAGCGGUCGCGAGACCGUCCUGACGCUCAGGUGCGAAAGCGUGGGUAGCGAACGGAAUUAGAUACUCCGGUAGUCCACGCCCUAAACGAUGGCCACUCGGUGUCGGGGGUAUCGACCCCCUCGGUGCCUUAGCUAACGCGGUAAGUGGCCCGCCUGGGGACUACGGCCGCAAGGCUAAAACUCAAAGGAAUUGACGGGGCCCCGCACAAGCAGCGGAGCGUGUGGAUUAAUUCGAUGCAACGCGAAGAACCUUACCCAGGCUUGACAUGGCGCUGGUAGGGAGGGGAAACCUGACCGACCCGCAAGGGAGGCGUCACAGGUGCUGCAUGGCUGUCGUCAGCUCGUGCCGUGAGGUGUUGGGUUAAGUCCCGCAACGAGCGCAACCCCCGUCUCCAGUUGCGUUUUCUGAGCAGACUGCGGGAGACCCCCGGAGAAGGU
rnacentral:rRNA from 1 species